rnacentral:rRNA from 1 species
AUUUAUAUAAGAGUUUGAUCCUGGCUCAGGAUGAACGCUGGCGGCGUGCCUAACACAUGCAAGUCGAGCGGAGUGCCUUUUCGGAAAUUUUCGGAUGGAAGAGAAGGAUACUUAGCGGCGGACGGGUGAGUAACGCGUGGGCAACCAACCUUGAUCAGGGGGACAACAUUGGGAAACCAGUGCUAAUACCGCAUAGCUCUAU